AUUUUAUUAAAUAUGAUAGGCUGUAAAGCCUUGAAACUAAGCACUUUAGGCCUCUAUCCUAGAGUGCUUUUUUGAUUUCU
rfam:Streptococcus pneumoniae GA07228 GA07228.contig.1, whole genome shotgun sequence.